rnacentral:rRNA from 1 species
AACGAACGCUGGCGGCAUGCCUAACACAUGCAAGUCGAACGAGACCUUCGGGUCUAGUGGCGCACGGGUGCGUAACGCGUGGGAACCUGCCCUUAGGUUCGGAAUAACUCCCCGAAAGGGGUGCUAAUACCGGAUAAUGUCUUCGGACCAAAGAUUUAUCGCCUUUGGAUGGGCCCGCGUUGGAUUAGCUAGUUGGUAGGGUAAAAGCCUACCAAGGCGACGAUCCAUAGCUGGUCUGAGAGGAUGAUCAGCCACACUGGGACUGAGACACGGCCCAGACUCCUACGGGAGGCAGCAGUGGGGAAUAUUGGACAAUGGGCGAAAGCCUGAUCCGGCAAUGCCGCGUGAGUGGUGAAGGCCUUAGGGUUGUAAAGCUCUUUUACCCGGGAUGAUAAUGACAGUACCGGGAGAAUAAGCGCCGGCUAACUCCGUG